GUGAGCCAGCCAGGAGUGAAGACGACAGGUUUGCUGUCUCCUUUGCCUGUGGGUCUGGGGCCCCAGCCUGGGGGAGACCCGUGACUCCAGGCAUGCUAUCAGGACAACUUCAACCCGAGGGGAGAUCAGCUCUCCCGCAACCUGGUGCCGCUCUCUGACAGCACAACAGAACCUAAGGGGCUACAGGAUGAUUCAAGGAACAGUGUGCUACAGGACCUCGGUGUGAUCCUUGUGGCCUUAUAUUAUUAGUUCAUUUG
rnacentral:lncRNA from 1 species